UACGUAGGGUGCGAGCGUUGUCCGGAAUUAUUGGGCGUAAAGAGCUCGUAGGCGGUUUGUCGCGUCUGCCGUGAAAACCCGAGGCUUAACCUCGUGGCUUGCGGUGGAUACGGGCAGACUAGAGGUAGGUAGGGGAGAAUGGAAUUCCCGGUGUAGCGGUGAAAUGCGCAGAUAUCAGGAGGAACACCGGUGGCGAAGGCGGUUCUCUGGGCCUUACCUGACGCUGAGGAGCGAAAGCGUGGGGAGCAAACAGG
rnacentral:rRNA from 1 species